GUGACCUCUGAACCAUCCUAUAUAUCAGAAUUACUAGAAAGUUGGAGAAGGGAUUCAUAUCCAACGGGGUACAAUACCUAAAUUCUCAGCCAUAGAUUUAAUCUAAUGGCUUAAGCCUUUGACACCUCACCAAUCCAUGCUGGCAAUCCGUGUGCUCAACUCUCUGCUAAUUCAAUUUGCUCUCUACUCACUGCUUUUUGCCUAAACUUCUCGUCAAAGCCAAAAAAAUUGAAAAUAUUUCUCUCUUCCACCAAACCUUUGUCUAUGCCUAAAUCUCCAUGGCUAUAGCUAGCAGCCACCAAAUCCCUCACCACCACACAUUCUCCUCGUCUCUCUCUCUCUCUCUCUCUCUCUCUCUGGAUUUCUAUGUUUUCUCUUUCUCUCAAGCCCAACCGUGGCCGAGCUUCUACUUCCACUCACACCUAUCGCCAUUGGCGGUGCCUCUCAUUGGCAUCACAACCACUGGUGGCCGCAGGAGUGUGUAGAUGUAUAUGUGUGUGGGGUGCUAAUGGGGAGUGCAUGUGGUGUUGAUGAGACAUGCGUGUGUUGAUGCAUGGUGAGGUGCUACAGGGUGUGCGUGGGCUGCUAAUGUGGGGUGCAUCUACUACUGAUGGGACAUACGUGUGCAGUUGAUGAGGUGUGCAUGUGCCAGUGCAGCUUGAGUGUACAAUGUGUCUAUGCUUUAGAUAAUGUUAUAUUUGAUUAGCUGGCAUUGUAUACUUGUAUUUCAGUAUAGAUAUACUUGUAUUACUUGUAUUGGUGAUAUGUUUACAUUAGCCUUGUGUGGCAUGA